GACAGAGGUUGCAAACGUUGUUCGGAAUCACUGGGCAUAAAGCGCACGUAGGCGGUCUGUUAAGUCAGGUGUGAAAGCCCCCGGCUCAACCGGGGAACAGCAUUUGAUACUGGCAGACUCGAGGAUGGUAGGGGUGAGUGGAACUCCAGGUGGAGCGGUGAAAUGCGUAGAUAUCUGGAGGAACACCGGUGGCGAAAGCGGCUCACUGGACCAUAACUGACGCUGAGGUGCGAAAGCGUGGGGAGCGAACAGG
rnacentral:rRNA from 1 species